UGAACGCUAGCGGCAGGCUAACACAUGCAAGUCGAGGGGUAGAGUUUCUUCGGAACUUGAGACCGGCGCACGGGUGCGUAACGCGUAUGCAAUCUACCUUAUACAGGGGAAUAGCCCAGAGAAAUUUGGAUUAAUGCCCUCAUAGUAUUAUUGAAUCGCAUGGUUUAAUAAUUAAAGUUCCAACGGUAUAAGAUGAGCAUGCGUCCCAUUAGUUAGUUGGUAAGGUAACGGCUUACCAAGACAAUGAUGGGUAGGGGUCCUGAGAGCGGGAGAUCCCCCACACUGGUACUGAGACACGGACCAGACUCCUACGGGAGGCAGCAGUGAGGAAUAUUGGUCAAUGGGCGCAAGCCUGAACAGCCAUGCCGCGUGCAGGAAGAAGCAUCUAUGGUGUGUAAACUGCUUUUAUACAGGAAGAAACAACGCUACGUGUAGCGUCUUGACGGUACUG
rnacentral:rRNA from 2 species